rnacentral:rRNA from 1 species
AACGAACGCUGGCGGCAUGCCUAACACAUGCAAGUCGAACGAGACCUUCGGGUCUAGUGGCGCACGGGUGCGUAACGCGUGGGAACCUGCCCUUAGGUUCGGAAUAACUCCCCGAAAGGGGUGCUAAUACCGGUUAAUGUCUUCGGACCAAAGAUUUAUCGCCUUUGGAUGGGCCCGCGUUGGAUUAGCUAGUUGGUUGGGUAAAAGCCUACCAAGGCGACGAUCCAUAGCUGGUCUGAGGGGAUGAUCAGCCACACUGGGACUGAGACACGGCCCAGACUCCUACGGGAGGCAGCAGGUGGGAAUAUUGGACAAUGGGCGAAAGCCUGAUCCAGCAAGGCCGCGUGAGUGAUGAAGGCCUUAGGGUUGUAAAGCUCUUUUACCCGGGAUGAUAAUGACAGUACCGGGAGAAUAAGCGCCGGCUAACUCCGUG